rnacentral:tRNA from 1 species
GUGGGCGUAGCAUAGCUCGGUUAGUGCGUUAGUUCCUGCCAAGCUAGAGACGUGGGUUCAAAUCCCACUACCCACACCA